rnacentral:rRNA from 1 species
AGAGUUUGAUCCUGGCUCAGAUUGAACGCUGGCGGCAGGCCUAACACAUGCAAGUCGAGCGGAUGAGAAGAGCUUGCUCUUCGAUUCAGCGGCGGACGGGUGAGUAAUACCUAGGAAUCUGCCUGGUAGUGGGGGACAACGUUUCGAAAGGAACGCUAAUACCGCAUACGUCCUACGGGAGAAAGCAGGGGACCUUCGGGCCUUGCGCUAUCAGAUGAGCCUAGGUCGGAUUAGCUAGUUGGUGAGGUAAUGGCUCACCAAGGCUACGAUCCGUAACUGGUCUGAGAGGAUGAUCAGUCACACUGGAACUGAGACACGGUCCAGACUCCUACGGGAGGCAGCAGUGGGGAAUAUUGGACAAUGGGCGAAAGCCUGAUCCAGCCAUGCCGCGUGUGUGAAGAAGGUCUUCGGAUUGUAAAGCACUUUAAGUUGGGAGGAAGGGCAGUAAGCGAAUACCUUGCUGUUUUGACGUUACCGACAGAAUAAGCACCGGCUAACUCUGUGCCAGCAGCCGCGGUAAUACAGAGGGUGCAAGCGUUAAUCGGAAUUACUGGGCGUAAAGCGCGCGUAGGUGGUUCGUUAAGUUGGAUGUGAAAUCCCCGGGCUCAACCUGGGAACUGCAUCCAAAACUGGCGAGCUAGAGUAGGGCAGAGGGUGGUGGAAUUUCCUGUGUAGCGGUGAAAUGCGUAGA